rnacentral:rRNA from 1 species
UACGGGGGGAGCAAGCGUUGUUCGGAUUUACUGGGCGUAAAGGGCGCGUAGGCGGUCAGCACAAGUCAGUUGUGAAAUCUCCGGGCUUAACUCGGAAAGGUCAACUGAUACUGUGCGACUAGAGUGCAGAAGGGGCAACUGGAAUUCUCGGUGUAGCGGUGAAAUGCGUAGAUAUCGAGAGGAACACCUGCGGCGAAGGCGGGUUGCUGGGACGGUACUGACGCUAAGGCGCGAAAGCGUGGGGAGCGAACAGG